rnacentral:tRNA from 1 species
GGCCCCGUCGUCUAGCGGCCUAGGACACCACCCUCUCAAGGUGGCGGCGCCAGUUCGAAUCUGGUCGGGGCUA